UAUCUCAGAAAACUCAGCAUCCCUGUUGACUCCUAGCAUGGCCUGGGCGGCUAUGAAUAAAGAUGGGUUAAUUUUCCCGGUGCCCACAACAGUGGGGUCACAGGCCUGAAGUGAGACCCUUCACAGUUAAUACGCAGAGGGACCAAAAGCACACUGCUCUAUGCUACUUAAAACAGCUGACCUAUUAGAUACUCCUUGUGUGAUCAUUGGUGCCCAGAUUAACUUCUUCUAACAUGUUAUAGCUAGUUUUGUUUUUGCCUAUGGUUACGUCUCUGUUAGGUGUACUCUGGUGUUUUGUAGUUUUCUAUUUCCUGAUAAUGUCCGUUUAGUAGAAAGACGAGAAUUUAGAUCACUUCAUAGCACCUGCCUGCAUUAUCAACACAUUAAUCUACAUUGUAAUUUAUGAGUCUUCUUCGUAAUAGUAAUUUAAGUGACAUUCCUUAUAUCGUUAGAGACUGGAAAGAACUAGAGGCUUAUCAGGCAGUUUCCUAGAAACUGUAGGAGUGGAAAAAAAAGGUGGUUCUUUCCCCCAUUGGAGUCUACAAUUUGUAUAAACCAUGACGGCAGAGAAAAUACAGUCAGUUCCAUGUAGCUGAGGGAGAUGGGAACAAACAGAGACCAUUGCCAGACAAUAUUCAGAGAGUGAGCAACUUUGGAACAUUCAGCCCUAAAAGGGAUUUCUUCAUCAAAUCCACCCCCUCAGUGCUCACGAAACUCUGGAAGAAGAGACAGAAAGAAUGUGAGAGCCAGAGGGGACUGAGGACACCAAGGAAUGAAAGCCUUCUAAAUACAGCACAUACGAAGUCACAGAGACUGUGGCAGCAUGCACAUGUCCUGCGUGGGUCUGUGUCAGAUGGUUCCUAGAGCUGAAAACAAGUGGACACACGCCCCAUCCUGACCCAGAAGAAAGUGGGCACACGCCCCAUCCUGACCCAGAAGAAAGUGGGCACACGCCCCAUCCUGACCCAGAAGAAAGUGGACACACACACCCCAUCCUGAUCCAGAAGAAAGUGGACACACACCCCAUCCUGAUCCAGAAGAAAGGGGACACACUCCCCAUCCUGACCCAGAAGGAAAGUGGACCAUGCCCCAUCCUGACCCAGAAGGAAAGUGGACACACACACUCCAUCCUGACCCAGAAGAAAGUGGACACACACUCCAUCCUAAUCCAGAAGAAAGUAGACACACACCCCAUCCUGAUCCAGAAGGAAAGUGGACACACACUCCAUCCUAAUCCAGAAGAAAGUAGACACACACCCCAUCCUGAUCCAGAAGGAAAGUGGACACACACUCCAUCCUAAUCCAGAAGAAAGUGGACACACACCCCAUCCUGACCCAGAAGACAGUGGACCACGCCCCAUCCUAAUCCAGAGGAAAGUGGACACACGCCCCAUCCUGACCCAGAAGCAGUAGCCAAAUGGCAACCACUUGGAAAUGAAAAAUUUGUUUUCUCCAAGGGAGUCUCACCGGGCAAAGACUAGUCUUAAGGGUAGGCUGCUUGCCCAGCAGUAGAUGGCCAACACAAAAAGAACUCAGCAGCAUUUUUGGGAGUUCUCUGUCUCACAAUGUUGGUCACGGAACUUUCUUUUUAACCUUACAGGUCCUGUGUAUAUAUGUUCUGGCUUCUGGUUUCGUAUUUUUGUGGGGUUCUCAUGGGUGUGGAUGUGUGUGUCUCAGCUGCUAAUAUGCAUUUCUUGUGCUUUUUCUUUGGCUCUUUUUCUUGCUUGGUUGUUUUGCCCUAUUCUAAUUUUUUAUUUUAUUCUACUUUUACUCUUUAGAUGCCUUUUUGUUUUCUAAGGAGAGACAGAAAGGGUGUGUAUCUGUAUGCAGGAGGAGGUGAGGAAAAGUAGGGGGAGGGAAACAGUAAUCAAAAUAUAUUGUAUGAAAAAAACCUAUUUUCAAUAAAAGAAAAAAUGGGAUUUAUAAUUAUUCCACUUAGGAUUCAAUUUCUACCUUUCACUCAGUCACAGAUAAAUUCUUCCAAGGACCAUAGACCUCACAAUUUAAUAUAUUUCUCCAGUAAAACCAUGCGCAUUCUAAAACUUUCACACAUACAGGAGAACAGAGAAAAGCUAACGCUGAGCCUCAUGUACCUGCCACCCAGCUUCUGGCUUUCGUGUUUUCCUAGAUUUAUCCAGAGGGAUGAGACUUUCUCUGUUCCUCCUUUAAGCAUGGAUUGUGUUUUGGAUGUAUUUUAAAGGAAGCUGUAAAUGUCAUUAUACUU